ensembl:lncRNA
AGUAGAAAUGUAAACAAACUAUCUGUGGCCACAAAUCAUGUCUGCUUUUGGAUACUCCGUUAUUGCAAUAGAUCCGCUCAUACAGUGAUUGCUAACUAUGUCGAAUCACCUUUUCUGAUAUUGUAUGUUACCUUCUAUAAGACAAUUACGAUCUUUAUGUCCGAUAAGGGUGCUUUAGACCCGUUUUAGAGGAGCGGGAAUACCUUGAAGAAAAGGAUCCCAGUAAUCUUGAGCUGGUUGUUGCCUUGUCGCUAGUGUUGGAGCUACAAAUGUUUGUCACUCCUGUACUUGUGCUACAGUAAUGGGCCCUGAUCCAUCCUGGAGUGUUGUAACUGGUUGAGGAACCUGGAUGGAGGAGUUUAACUGCAUCGUGGAAAAUGUAGUUCAUAAACACCUUGCGGACCACCACCCUAAAUUGGGACCUAUCACCGGGAAACAUCCAGUGGUGUGCAGAUAUUUCACCUGAGGAAAACUCUGUAUUUGACCAGGAAAUGCAACUGAUGAGCCAGACGGACACUUCUGCAUAUCCUGUUACUAGUUGGCUGAUGAGGUUUCCCUCAUUUUGCAGCCGGGAUCUUCCAUUGCUGGGGCCGGGAGGGUUUAAUUUUGAGGCCAAGUCGAAUGAUGACUCUGGGUUUGUCUAUUGAGGAAAUUGUUUUAGCUGUGGGGCGUGGAUGGACAAGACGGGAGAGAGUGACACAGCUCAUAACAAAGGAAUCCCAGCUACACCCAGGUCGUAAUACCUCUUUGGCCUAUGAAGGGUGGAACAGGAGGAUCCAGCAGAACUUUGAGAUGAAUCAACGUCUGUUGCCCGGUGCGAUGUGUCUCACAACCUUCAGGACCCCAAUGAGAAACAUCCAGACCUGGUGCACAAGAGAGGCAUCUACAAGGACAGACAUGGGGCCGCCCAUUCCUGAUUGUCUUGGAAGGGUCUACAUGAGCUGACGAAUGAGAAUGGCCAGUACUGUCCCUUCAGCUGUGAGACCCAGGCCUGGUCCAUCACCACCAUACUGGAGGUCCUGCAAGAUCUGUAGGUUGAGAAUAUAUUCUCCCCCUUUUCUUUUGUUCUUUUCUCUUGUCCAAUCAAAUCGUAUUGGUCACAUACACAGGUUUAGCAUAUGGGGGCUGCAGGUAGCCUAGUGGUUAGAGCGUUGGGCCAGUAACCGAAUGGUCGAACUGACAAUGUAAAAAUCUGUCGUUCUGUCCCUGAACAAGCUAGUUAACCCACUGUUCCUCAUAGUAAAUAAGAAUUUGUUUUAACUGACUUUCCUAGUUAAAUAAAGGUUACAUUUAAAUAUAUAUAUAUGUAAUUAAGGAAUAUAUAAACAAUAGGAUGAGCAAUGUCGGAGUGGCAUAGACCCAUUACAGUUUCAGCCUCCUAGUCUAUCAGUUUUCAAAAAUAUUUCAACUUUGACAGUAUUUUCAGUGAAGCCAUUUUAAACAGUAUCUCAUACUCCUUAGCUGGAACCCUGUGUCUACCUCUAAAAACGGCCUUUAACAACAUAAGAAACCUCCCUCAACCUCUUUGUUACAUCUGGAUAUUAUGCCAAUGUGUGUUUUCAUAAAUGUGGCUUGCAUGGUCAAUGUAGGCCUUGUCAAUACAUCUUGAAUUGCUUUGAAAUCUUGUAGACUUAAAUCUUUUAGUACUUUUUUCUUAAUUGUGCACUCUCAUCCCUGCAAGGGUGAAUUACCUGACUUCCAGUUCUAAAUGCUGUCUCAUACAAUAGCCCAUAUAUUUUUGCCCUUGUGACUCAUGAUGAGGCAUCAGAAAUGUCAAAAAUAGUGUGAAAAUCUUGUCUGUAAAUCCACAUGCUACAUCACCGACCA